AGUUAAUCUUCAGUAACUCCUUGAUGCGUUUGAUAGUCCUCCCAACUUAAGCCUUCCUUACUGCCUCCAGGAGAUACAGUCUUCUGUUCUUUUUGUCAUAGUUGUUUAUUUUUCAUGAAUCGCUGUUUUUGAGCAUAGGGCACUUACCUCUUUCUGUGUCCCCAGCCCUACCACAGUGCCAGGCUCUCAAUAUGCUCGAUAAAUAUUAGGCGAUUGAUUUGUAAAUCGUGUAUCAUUUUCAUGUAUCUAAUACUUUUUUAAAAAUUGAUUAAAGCCCAUAAGCCCAUAUUUUAUUCCAGAUGUCCUUAGUUUUCGACCUGGUAUUCUUUUCCAUUCCAGGAUCCUGUCCGGAGUACAUCACCAUGUCUUCCAGGCUCCUCUGGACCGUGACCGUUUCUCAAACUUUCCUUGUUUUUGAUAACCUUAAUAGUUUUGAAGCGACUUAUUGGUCAUUUGGUCAAAUGUCCUUCAAUUGGGUUUUGCCUGUAUUUUUCUCAUGCAUUAACUGAGGUUAUGGGUUUUUCUUGAGUUAAGAGAAUCAGCUGCUUCCCCAAAAAGCCAAGGGUACUUUUAAUGGAAAAUGAUAUUAGAAAUCAAGAUUUGGACAUUUGGGAUGUUGUUGCUUCUAGACACUCUCAGCUGACAGAGCAAGGAAAUAUUUGUGGAUAUGCUAACCUGACUAAAUACGCAUAUCUGCUCCAUACCUACCUAACAUCUAUCUUCUCAAGAACUCUGCCAGGGAAGGAGUAGUUUCUGUGUUUCAUAAACAGACUGAGACUCAAAGAGGCUAAGUAAACUACCUGAAGCCAUAUAUAGCAACACACAAUGACGGAUGUGAGAUUCAAACUUGGAUUUAUCUGGCUCCAAAAUUUCUAGUUUUUUUUUUUUUUUUUUUCCCACUACAGCAAAACUAAGGAGAAGAGACAGAGAAAACACUAGAUCUGAAUAACAAAGGAUGCAUACUUAAGCAAACUAAGGCAUAUAUAGUUAUCACUAAAUGCUCAACCUGGAAAGAAUACUGGAUUGCAGUCUGCUUU
rnacentral:lncRNA from 1 species